rnacentral:rRNA from 1 species
UUAAUUCGAUGCAACGCGAAGAANCUUACUACUCUUGACAUCCAGGGAACUUUCAGAGAUGGAUUGGGUGCCUUCGGGAACUCUGAGACAGGUGCUGCAUGGCUGUCGUCAGCUCGUGUUGUGAAAUGUUGGGUUAAGUCCCGCAACGAGCGCAACCCUUAUCCUUUGUUGCCAGCGGUUCGGCCGGGAACUCAAAGGAGACUGCCNGUGAUAAACUGGAGGAAGGUGGGGAUGACAUCNAGUCAUCAUGGCCCUUACGAGUAAGGCUACACACGUGCUACAAUGGGCAUAUACAAAGAGAAGCGACCUCGCGAGAGCAAGCGGACCUCAUAAAGUAUGUCGUAAUCCGGAUUGGGAGUCUGCAACUCGACUCCAUGAAGUCGGAAUCGCUAGUAAUCGUAGAUCAGAAUGCUACGGUGAAUACGUUCCCGGGCCUUGUACACACCGCCCGUCACACCAUGGGAGUGGGUUGC